rnacentral:rRNA from 1 species
UACGUAGGGGGCAAGCGUUGUCCGGAAUCAUUGGGCGUAAAGCGCGUGUAGGCGGCUUGGUAAGUCUGCUCUGAAAGCCCGGGGCUCAACCCCGGGAGGCGGGUGGAUACUGUCAAGCUCGAGUCCGGAAGAGGAGUGUGGAAUUCCUGGUGUAGCGGUGAAAUGCGCAGAUAUCAGGAGGAACACCGGUGGCGAAGGCGGGACUCUGGGCCGAUGACU